UACGGAGGGUGCAAGCGUUAAUCGGAAUUACUGGGCGUAAAGCGUGCGUAGACGGUAGCGUAAGUCAGAUGUGAAAGCCCCGGGCUCAACCUGGGAAUUGCAUUUGAGACUGCUCUGCUCGGGUGCGGAAGAGGGAAGCGGAAUUUCCGGUGUAGCGGUGAAAUGCGUAGAUACCCGGAGGAACACCAGUGGCGAAGGCGGCUUCCUGGUCUGCGACUGACGCUGAGGCGCGAAAGCUAGGGGAGCAAACGGG
rnacentral:rRNA from 1 species